rnacentral:rRNA from 1 species
UUGUUCGGAAUUACUGGGCGUAAAGGGCUCGUAGGUGGCCAACUAAGUCGGACGUGAAAUCCCUCGGCUUAACCGGGGAACUGCGUCUGAUACUGGAUGGCUUGAGUUCGGGAGAGGGAUGCGGAAUUCCAGGUGUAGCGGUGAAAUGCGUAGAUAUCUGGAGGAACACCGGUGGCGAAGGCGGCAUCCUGGACCAACACUGACGCUGAGUGAGCGAAAGCCAGGGGAGCAAACGGG